GGUGUUUCCCCGCUUUCGUCGACUUCACUUUGCUAGAACGGGAGGAGUUCUGCAGGAAGUAGCUCAGCUUCUUCUUCCAGUCCUUAAUGAUGGUGCGCUUCAUCAUCCUGCCCUUGUCCGCCUCCUCCAGCUCCGCACGCCGCCGGCUGCCCCGCUCCAUCCGCCCGCCGUCCUGCGGCAGCGCCACGAGCACCGCGCUCUGCAU
rnacentral:lncRNA from 1 species